rnacentral:rRNA from 1 species
CGGAACGUACCGGAAGUGGGGAUAACGUAGCGAAGUUACGCUAAUACCGCAUAUGCCUAAGGGGAAGCGGGGGAUUCGCAAGAACCUCGCGUUUUCGGAGCGGCCGAUAUCGGAUUAGCUAGUAGGUGAGGUAAAGGCUCACCUAGGCGACGAUCCGUAGCUGGUCUGAGAGGACGACCAGCCACACUGGAACUGAGACACGGUCCAGACUCCUACGGGAGGCAGCAGUGGGGAAUUUUGGACAAUGGGCGCAAGCCUGAUCCAGCCAUGCCGCGUGAGUGAAGAAGGCCUUCGGGUUGUAAAGCUCUUUCAGCCGGAAAGAAAACGCGCAGGUUAAUAACCUGUGCGGAUGACGGUACCGGAAGAAGAAGCACCGGCUAACUACGUGCCAGCAGCCGCGGUAAUACGUAGGGUGCGAGCGUUAAUCGGAAUUACUGGGCGUAAAGCGUGCGCAGGCGGUUUUGUAAGACAGAUGUGAAAUCCCCCGGGCUUAACCUGGGAACUGCAUUUGUAACUGCAAGGCUAGAGUACGGCAGAGGGGGG